GCUCCUGGCGGUGUUUACGCAAUCAAACUGUGGUCAGUGAAUUAGGUGAGGGGGCCGCGUGGUGGUGAGUGACUCGAUAUCUGUAAUCAUCUCGGUGCUCUUAAUGACCACACAGUUUUGUAGUGACUUAAGGUGUUCCUGGUGCCUUGUGGAGUGACAUGACCCUGACCCUAACCAACACGGAAGUGAAGUACAGCGGUGACCAUAGCACAGACAUCAUUCCGUCAGUCUGGUGCUCGCUUCGUGUACGUCGCUGGUCACCUUGACAACCACUUCCUUCUCCUCGCCUGAGCACCCGAGGACCUAGCACAGAGACCGUCGUGGCAGCAGAGUGGUAACGGAAUGGUAACAUCACACCAGGGAGUUAUUUGUAUGUACGAAGUAAACAGGAUACUAAAAAAAAUAAAGGACGGCAUUAAUGGAAAUGAUCCGUGGAUUUCUACAGUAUUCUGUAAUGCAUGAUGCUUGACGCCAUGCGGCAGGCGAGUCUGGCCACGUCUGGACGCUGUGUAAACGACCUCAUUAUACCAUUUAUUUCUUAAUCACACGGUUUUGCUGUAAUGAAAUUAGAGAAAAAAAAUACUCAUGUAAAGUGGGCCAUAAUAUUAGUAGAAGUAGUAAUGGGGCCAUCUUCAUGGUAUCAGUAUGGCCAGAUGCUUGCAACACCCGUUACACGGAUUUCUGGAUCGUUCGGGAGACAGCGCUCUAGAGCACUGUACAGGACAGUGGAGCACUCCAGAUGGGCGAGUUUUCCCGGUACU